CCUCGGCCGCUCCUAUAUAUCCUUACGUCGGGCCCGGCCCCCCUCUCCUCCGGCCGCCGCCGCCGAGACCCGCGGAUUGCAGAGCCGCCCCGAGGUGGGCUGAAGAAGUCGGGGAUAACCCCGGGGGGAAGAGGGGUGGCCGGGCCGGGACCCCCCGCGAACCAUUGCUGCCCCCGCUCCAUCCCCAUCCCCACGGCGGCCGGGCCGGGGCGCGGAGCCCCCGCGGAGCCUCCGUGUACCGCGCUGGGCCGGCCCCGCAGCCGGACAAACAAUGUGCGACUUGGCGGAACAAAAGCCGCAGGGCUUGGGUUGCUGAACACGUCUGAGGCCAGACGAGCCGCGCGAUUUAUUGGACUUGGUGAGAAAAUCAUAAUAAAAUAAAUAAAUAAUAAAUAAAAA